GAUGAACGCUAGCGGCAGGCCUAACACAUGCAAGUCGAGGGAGAGGUUACCUUCGGGUCACCAAAACCGGCGCACGGGUGCGUAACGCGUAUACAAUCUUCCUUUCACAUAGGGAUAGCCCGAAGAAAUUUGGAUUAAUACCUAAUGGUAUAUAAAAGCGGCAUCGUUUUUAUAUUAAAGCUACGGUAGUGAAAGAUGAGUAUGCGUUCUAUUAGCUAGUUGGAGAGGUAACGGCUCCCCAAGGCGACGAUAGAUAGGGGUUCUGAGAGGGAUGUCCCCCACACUGGUACUGAGAUACGGACCAGAAUCCUACGGGAGGCAGCAGUGAGGAAUAUUGGACAAUGGUCGGAAGACUGAUCCAGCCAUGCCGCGUGCAGGAUGAAGGUCCUAUGGAUUGUAAACUGCUUUUGUAAGGGAAGAAUAAGAGCUACGGGUAGUUUGAUGACGGUACCUUACGAAUAAGCAUCGGCUAACUCCGUG
rnacentral:rRNA from 1 species